rnacentral:rRNA from 1 species
UGAGGAAUAUUGGUCAAUGGGCGCAAGCCUGAACCAGCCAUCCCGCGUGAAGGAAGAAGGCGCUAUGCGUUGUAACCUUCUUUUCCAGUGGAAGAAAACCCCCGACGUGUCGGGGCUUGCCGGUACUCUGGGAAUAAGCAUCGGCUAACUCCGUGCCAGCAGCCGCGGUAAUACGGAGGAUGCAAGCGUUAUCCGGAUUUAUUGGGUUUAAAGGGUGCGUAGGCGGAUUAAUAAGUCAGUGGCGAAAGACUGCAGCUUAACUGUAGAACUGCCAUUGAUACUGUUAGUCUUGAGUAUGGUCAAGGUAGGCGGAAUGUGUAAUGUAGCGGUGAAAUGCUUAGAUAUUACACAGAACACCGAUUGCGAAGGCAGCUUACUGGGCCAUUACUGACGCUGAUGCACGAAAGCGUGGGGAGCGAACAGG